GGACCGGUAGUUCAGCUGGUUAGAAUGCCGCCCUGUCACGGCGGAGGUCGCGGGUUCGAGUCCCGUCCGGUCCGCAA
rnacentral:tRNA from 27 species